UACAGAGGGGGCAAGCGUUGUUCGGAAUUACUGGGCGUAAAGGGCGCGUAGGCGGCCUUCUAAGUCGAACGUGAAAUCCCCGGGCUCAACCCGGGAACUGCGUCCGAUACUGGAAGGCUUGAAUCCGGGAGAGGGAUGUGGAAUUCCAGGUGUAGCGGUGAAAUGCGUAGAGAUCGGGAGGAAUACCGGUGGCGAAAGCGACUCUCUGGACGGCAACUGACGCUGAGGCACGAAAGCGUGGGGAGCGAACAGG
rnacentral:rRNA from 1 species